UUUUAUUUGAGAGUUUGAUCCUGGCUCAGGAUGAACGCUGGCGGCGUGCCUAACACAUGCAAGUUGAGCGAUUUACUUCGGUAAAGAGCGGCGGACGGGUGAGUAACGCGUGGGUAACCUACCCUGUACACACGGAUAACAUACCGAAAGGUAUGCUAAUACGGGAUAAUAUAUUUGAGAGGCAUCUCUUGAAUAUCAAAGGUGAGCCAGUACAGGAUGGACCCGCGUCUGAUUAGCUAGUUGGUAAGGUAACGGCUUACCAAGGCGACGAUCAGUAGCCGACCUGAGAGGGUGAUCGGCCACAUUGGAACUGAGACACGGUCCAAACUCCUACGGGAGGCAGCAGUGGGGAAUGUAGCACAAUGGGCGAAAGCCUGAUGCAGCAACGCCGCGUGAGUG
rnacentral:rRNA from 1 species